CGCGAUUCGCCCUUCGGGGUGCGGCGGCGCGAAUUCUUUACAAUGCGGGAAACCGUGAUAAGGGGACACCGAGUGCCAGCAUCAUAUGCUGGCUGUCCAGGUGUGUAAAAUACACCUGUUAGCAAGGGCCGGGCAAGACCGGUGCCAGACCGCCGCGGUAACACCGGCGGCCCGAGUGGUGAUCGUGAUUAUUGGGUCUAAAGGGUCCGUAGCCGGUUUGGUCAGUCCUCCGGGAAAUCUGACGGCUCAACCGUUAGGCUUUCGGGGGAUACUGCCAGGCUUGGAACCGGGAGAGGUAAGAGGUACUACAGGGGUAGGAGUGAAAUCUUGUAAUCCCUGUGAGACCACCUGUGGCAAAGGCGUCUUACCAGACCGGGUUCUACGGUCAGGGACUAAAGCUGGGGGCACGAACCGGAUUAGAUACCCGGGUAGUCCCAGCCGUAAACGAUGCUCGCUAGGUGUCAGGCAUGGUUCAACCGUGUCUGGUGCCGCAAGGAAACCGUGAAACUAGCCACCUGGUAAUUACGGUCGCAAGGCUGAAACUUAUAGGAAUUGGCGGGGGACCAC
rnacentral:rRNA from 1 species